GCGGGAUUAGUUUACUGGUAAAACAUCAGUUUUCCAAACUGAGGUAAAGGGUUCGAUUCCCUUAUCCCGCA
rnacentral:tRNA from 1 species